rnacentral:rRNA from 1 species
UGGGGAAUAUUGCACAAUGGGGGAAACCCUGAUGCAGCGACGCCGCGUGAGCGAAGAAGGUUUUCGAAUCGUAAAGCUCUGUCCUAUGGGAAGAUAAUGACGGUACCAUAGGAGGAAGCCCCGGCUAACUACGUGCCAGCAGCCGCGGUAAUACGUAGGGGGCAAGCGUUGUCCGGAAUCACUGGGCGUAAAGGGUUCGCAGGCGGAAAUGCAAGUCAGUUGUGAAAGGCAGAGGCUCAACAUCUAUAAGCAAUUGAAACUGUAUUUCUUGAGAUGUGGAGAGGCAAGUGGAAUUACUAGUGUAGCGGUGAAAUGCGUAGAUAUUAGGAAGAAUACCGGUGGCGAAGGCGACUAGCUGGACCCAAACUGACGCUGAGGAACGAAAGCGUGGGUAGCAAACAGG